rnacentral:rRNA from 1 species
CGAACGGGUGAGUAACGCGUGAGGAACCUGCCUCAAAGAGGGGGACAACAGUUGGAAACGACUGCUAAUACCGCAUAAGCCCACGGCUCGGCAUCGAGCAGAGGGAAAAGGAGCAAUCCGCUUUGAGAUGGCCUCGCGUCCGAUUAGCUAGUUGGUGAGGUAACGGCUCACCAAGGCAACGAUACAUAGGGGGACUGAGAGGUUAACCCCCCACAUUGGUACUGAGACACGGACCAA